rnacentral:lncRNA from 1 species
UGAUAGAAUAAUUAUUUAUCAAUUACAACUAAUAAUGAUACAAUAAUUAUUAAAACUGAAAAUACUAAAUAACAUAUAUAUAUAUAUUACUUUUAGCGUAGUACUUAGUGCUAAGGUUGGAGAUGACAAAAAAAGUAUGACACCAAAACGCUAAAUUAAGUGUAAUUUAAACACCAAAUUUGGUGUUAUGGUUGGAGAUGCCCUUAUGUAUUGAUUAUCGGUAAAUCUUUAGUUUUAUAAAUAAACAAUCACCAAUUAUAUCUAAAUUUACACUCUUAUUUAAAACAAAAAUUUCACAUUUAAACAUGAUGCUUUUUGUGUUAAAAAAAAACAUGAUGCUUUCAAUAUAUUAUAACUAAAAAUGCAUAACAAAUAUUGUUCUAACUAGAAAACUAUCAAUUUAUCAUCUAUAUACAUUAAUUAAAAACAAGUUAUCUUAAGGAUGUCCUAAUCAAUAGUUUUCGUGGUUUACCUUCUGAAACGACUAUGCAUGUAAAGCAUAUAGUCUUAAUUUUUUAAACAAGUACAGUUUAGCCAAAAAGUACUACCCAACACUAAGUACAUAAUAUAUGUGAGUUGGGUCUGGCCACCAGAUGACUUCUACUGGUCAUGCUUCCGGACGUCGUGAGUUGCCAUCGAGGGGAAUUUCUGCUUGAGCAGGGACGCGUGCGACCAAAGCGGUCAUGAGUAGCUCUGGACGAGGUGGCAGCUCAGAGACAAAUAUUUUCCUCUGUUUUAUUUUAUGGUUUUCUCUAAGACCUUUUUUUUUGUCAACUUUUGCUUUUAUUAAAGCAUAAACUGUAGGAAUAUAGUGAACACGUAGCUACAAGUUUUACACGUGUAAAUACAAAGUUUAAUCCCAAACUACGUGUCAAUAAUAAAACAUGCAGAUCGGUUACGCCGGUCAAUCUUCAAGUGCAUCUCCGGCAAGCUCUUCAUCUUCUCUGCUACAUAUCCAAUCCUCUAUGAUUUGCACUCACUACACAAACUUUUUCGCCUUUCGCUGUCUAUAUCCAAGUUGUUAAAUAUCGGAUCAAAUUCUUUGUUAUGGUUUUAACGAACAAAGAGUGGUAAAUUUUGAAAUUAUUUUUUGCUCGGGGAAAAACCACAAAACC